rnacentral:rRNA from 1 species
CCCGCUGAACUUAAGCAUAUCAAUAAGCGGAGGAAAAGAAACUAACAAGGAUUCCCCUAGUAACGGCGAGUGAAGAGGGAAGAGCUCAAAUUUUGAAUCUGGCGUCUUUGGCGUCCGAGUUGUAAUCUAGAGAAGUGUUUUCCGUGGCGGACCGUGCACAAGUCUCCUGGAAUGGAGCGUCAUAGAGGGUGAGAAUCCCGUAUAUGGCACGGACUCCCGUUGCUCUGUGAUACACUCUCAACGAGUCGAGUUGUUUGGGAAUGCAGCUCUAAAUGGGUGGUAAAUGCCAUCUAAAGCUAAAUAUUGGCGAGAGACCGAUAGCGAACAAGUACCGUGAGGGAAAGAUGAAAAGAACUUUGGAAAGAGAGUUAAACAGUAUGUGAAAUUGUUGAAAGGGAAACGUUUGAAGUCAGUCAUGUUGGCUGGGGAUCAGCCUGACAUUUAUGUUGGGUGUACUUCCUGGUUGACGGGCCAACAUCAGUUUUGGCUGCCAGAAAAAGGCCAAGGGAAUGUGGCACCUUUGGGUGUGUUAUAGCUCUUGGUCGUAUGUGGUGGUUGGGACUGAGGAAAGCAGUGCGCCGAAAGGCAGGGUUUCGACCACAUUCGCACUGAGGAUGUUGGCAUAAUGGCUUUAAGCGACCCGUCUUGAAACACGG